rnacentral:rRNA from 1 species
CAGCCGCCGCGGUAAUACGUAGGGUGCGAGCGUUAAUCGGAAUUACUGGGCGUAAAGCGGGCGCAGACGGUUACUUAAGCAGGAUGUGAAAUCCCCGGGCUCAACCUGGGAACUGCGUUCUGAACUGGGUAACUAGAGUGUGUCAGAGGGAGGUAGAAUUCCACGUGUAGCAGUGAAAUGCGUAGAGAUGUGGAGGAAUACCGAUGGCGAAGGCAGCCUCCUGGGAUAACACUGACGUUCAUGCCCGAAAGCGUGGGGAGCAAACAGGAUUAGAUACCCCCGUAGUCCCUGUCUCUUAUAC